GAUGAACGCUGGCGGCGUGCCUAAUACAUGCAAGUCGAGCGAACAGACGAGGAGCUUGCUCCUCUGACGUUAGCGGCGGACGGGUGAGUAACACGUGGAUAACCUACCUAUAAGACUGGGAUAACUUCGGGAAACCGGAGCUAAUACCGGAUAAUAUAUUAAACCGCAUGGUUCAAUAGUGAAAGACGGUUUUGCUGUCACUUAUAGAUGGAUCCGCGCCGCAUUAGCUAGUUGGUAAGGUAACGGCUUACCAAGGCGACGAUGCGUAGCCGACCUGAGAGGGUGAUCAGCCACACUGGAACUGAGACACGGUCCAGACUCCUACGGGAGGCAGCAGUAGGGAAUCUUCCGCAAUGGGCGAAAGCCUGACGGAGCAACGCCGCGUGAGUGAUGAAGGUCUUCGGAUCGUAAAACUCUGUUAUUAGGGAAGAACAAAUGUGUAAGUAACUAUGCACGUCUUGACGGUACCUAAUCAGAAAGCCACGGCUAACUACGUG
rnacentral:rRNA from 1 species